rnacentral:rRNA from 1 species
UACGUAGGGUGCAAGCGUUGUCCGGAAUUAUUGGGCGUAAAGAGCUCGUAGGCGGUCUGUCGCGUCUGCUGUGAAAACUCAGGGCUUAACCCUGAGCUUGCAGUGGGUACGGGCAGACUAGAGUGCGGUAGGGGAGACUGGAAUUCCUGGUGUAGCGGUGAAAUGCGCAGAUAUCAGGAGGAACACCGGUGGCGAAGGCGCCACUCUGGGCCGGUACUGACGCUGAGGAGCGAAAGCGUGGGUAGCAAACAGG